AGAUGCCAUCUCAACAACAACAACAAAAAAACCAAACAUACUAAUACCACAUUAUUCUGGUCAAUCACUGUUAUACACGGCCUCCCUUUUUUUCCCGCUUUGUUUUCCCCUUUCUUGUCUCUGGCGCUUUCUCUUGUCACCUGGACGUCCACCUGAGGGGCCGUGACUUCUUUCCCAUAACCACUCCCUGCUCUGGUACAAGGCUCAGAACGUGGUGAGAAAGUCGCAGCAUUCCCCUCAACCUGAAGAUUUCCAUUGUAACAUCAUUAGGAGUAUGAAGGGAGCAAGAAACCCCAUAUAAUACUUAUAUUUAAUGUAAACUGGAGCUCAUUUUCGUAUUUCCCGAAAGAAAAGAAAAUUUUUAAAAACCUACUAAGUUAUUAACACCAAAGGAACUUAAGACUUGGUACUUUUCAAGUUACUACUAACUCAAAAUAAAUAACAGAUACCAAGGCACUGCAGAGACGAGUUUUUAGGUUUCAGAACCCUCCUUAGAACAUCCUUUUCCCAACUGUGUCUUAAAAUCCUAGGGUUUUGGUUUCCUCAUUCAUGAAAGAUGAGGGCUGGACUAAAUCUCUCCUGCUGCUCCCAAUCUGACAUUCUCCGAUGCUGACACGCAAUUUUCAUCCAUGCUUAGUUUUUAAAAAGAAGUGAUAACUGUUUUCCCUUUGCCGUACAUAAAUUUCGUUUACUAUGCUACACUGCACAUUCAGAUUUAUCUUGCUGCAGAAGGUGUGUCGUCCCACAGUGUGACAGCAUGGGGCAGUAAGGGCCUCGCUGAAGUGCGGAUACCACUGAGUGUAGAGCCUGGUAGCUAGGUUUGUUUUCUCCUUUUGAACUGGAGGCCCCUGGUGCAAACAUGCGCUGCCAGAUCUUGGGUCAGGCCAAGAAGCAUCUGAGUCUGAUCCCCCUCUUUGUGUCUGCUGGAGCUGGAGGCACUGGAGCAACACUGUAUGGCCUGCAUCUGGCACAGUUCAAUCCAGAUUUUACUAGGGACAGAAAGAAUAACUGGGUGCCCUAGAAGAAACUAGGUCACAGGGAUCAAUACAAGUUCUACUCAGUGAAUGUGGAUUACAGUAAACUGAAGAAAGAAGGUCCAGAUUUCUAAAUAAAAUGUUUCACUAUGAAGCUGCUUUAGAAAGAAGGUCUUGGCCAGGCACAGUGGCUCACGCCUGUAAUCCCAGCACUUUGGGAGGC